rnacentral:lncRNA from 1 species
AAGGAUAUCAGUUCUCUUUUUUGCUUUCAAUAUCUCCAAGGCUUCUGUCAUCAUGGCCUGCGACUUGUUUUGUGUUGGUCUUAUUAUUUUUGUUUCGUUCCGGUGGAUUCGUGCGUCUUCGUGUAUGCUUCCGCGGCCAGUGCUGUGCUGGCGUUGGUUUUUUCAGUGUCUUUCUUGUGUUCACGUGGUCUUUCUGCUAAGGUUCUGCUGGUGACACCUAUGUGGGGUGUGUUUUUGCCAAUUUCUACUACAUCAUCGGUAUCCUGUAGACACCUGAAUUCUCUUCGUGUGUCCUUCUCUGUUUUUCAUUCCUUACUUUCGUUCUGGUAUCCUGGCGGUCUGGGAGAGAGACGACAAGUUGCAGAACAUAGAAGAAAUGUUCACGAUCCCAGCAUGUGGGUUAAAACUCAAAAGAACCCAACUGAGUGAAGAGAAGAUAAAC